rnacentral:rRNA from 1 species
CCCUUAGAUGUCCUGGGCCGCACGCGCGCUACACUGAGUGUCUGAGAUACGAGUCUGCCUGGUCCGGCAAGGUCUAGGUAAUCGCUAAAAGACACAGCAUGCUUGGGAUAGAUUAUUGCAAAUAUUAAUCUUGAACGAGGAAUUCCUAGUAAGCGCAAGUCAACAGCUUGCGUUGAUUACGUCCCUGCCCUUUGUACACACCGCCCGUCGCUACUACUGAUUGGAUGUUUAAGCGAGGUUCUCGAACUGCUAGCGACUUAGCUUCGGUGAGGUCGCAGUGUGGGAAGUGAACCUAGCUUUGGUGUCUAGAGGAAGUAAAAGUCGUAACA